rnacentral:lncRNA from 1 species
AAACCCGGCCCAUGGCUGGCAUGCACAUUGGACACCACCGUUUCCAACUAGUUUAUGGUUAUCUCUUGAGGAACAUAGGUUUUCUUCAAGAUCUUCAACAGAGCCUCUCUAUGCCCCUCAGAACUUAACAACAACGACAGAAUUGAUAUUUUGGAGGGAGUUUGCUGCAGAUGGUCAACAAGCUUGUACUCAGACUUCUUGAUGAUCCUUAAGAAUUCCUCUGCAUCAUCAUCAAGCUUUUCUUCUGACCCAACAGGCGUCGGUGUCACCACUGGAG